rnacentral:rRNA from 1 species
GACGAACCGUGCGAACGUUGUUCGGAAUUACUGGGCUUAAAGGGCGCGUAGGCGGCGAGGCAAGUCGGUUGUGAAAUCUCUCGGCUUAACCGGAGAAUUGCAUUCAAUACUGUCUGUCUUGAGGGAGGAAGGGGCAGAUGGAACUCCCGGUGGAGCGGUGAAAUGCGUUGAUAUCGGAAGGAACGCCGGUGGCGAAAGCGAUCUGCUGGGCCUCUUCUGACGCUGAGGCGCGAAAGCUAAGGUAGCAAACGGG